UACGUAGGGUGCGAGCGUUAAUCGGAAUUACUGGGCGUAAAGCGUGCGCAGGCGGUUUUUUAAGACAGAUGUGAAAUCCCCGGGCUUAACCUGGGAACUGCAUUUGUGACUGCAAGGCUAGAGUACGGCAGAGGGGGGUAGAAUUCCACGUGUAGCAGUGAAAUGCGUAGAGAUGUGGAGGAACACCGAUGGCGAAGGCAGCCCCCUGGGCUAACAUUGACGCUCAGGCACGAAAGCGUGGGGAGCAAACAGG
rnacentral:rRNA from 1 species